GCACCUAGUAUGUGAGGGAGGAAGCCGUGAGGAGAGGAACACAGCAGGAUGAGACAAAGCCAGGGCCUGUUCUCAAGGAGCCUCUGCUUCCCCGUGCCGUCGCGGACCCUCCUCCGAGAUUCCCGGCCAUAGGUUGCUAGGAUGAUUAUGCAUAUCCAUCUGAUACAGGGAAAAAACUCAGCAACUUCACCCAGAUUCUGCUGUCCCUACAAGGCUGCAUCUGAAAGACCAAAGAGAAACUGACAAUCCAAGAUGGACAAGCAAACCAAAUUAAAUACUUCGAAAAGAUCACACAUGGCCCAGCAGUGCAGCAGAAGUGUUGGCCAAGAGAGCUUCAUGGAGUUAACUGAACCAAUAUAGUGAAAUAUAUUGAAUUUGGAAAGAUAAGGGAAGA
rnacentral:lncRNA from 1 species